ACCUUCUGUGGUGUAGUUGGUAACGCCUUGGCUUAGUAAUUUGAAGUCCCAGGUUCAAGUCCCGGUCGAGGUA